rnacentral:rRNA from 1 species
CUCCUACGGGAGGCAGCAGUGGGGAAUCUUAGACAAUGGGCGCAAGCCUGAUCUAGCCAUGCCGCGUGAGUGAUGAAGGCCUUAGGGUCGUAAAGCUCUUUCGCCAGGGAUGAUAAUGACAGUACCUGGUAAAGAAACCCCGGCUAACUCCGUGCCAGCAGCCGCGGUAAUACGGAGGGGGUUAGCGUUGUUCGGAAUUACUGGGCGUAAAGCGUACGUAGGCGGAUCAGAAAGUUAGGGGUGAAAUCCCGGGGCUCAACCCCGGAACUGCCUCUAAAACUCCUGGUCUUGAGUUCGAGAGAGGUAAGUGGAAUUCCGAGUGUAGAGGUGAAAUUCGUAGAUAUUCGGAGGAACACCAGUGGCGAAGGCGGCUUACUGGCUCGAUACUGACGCUGAGGUACGAAAGUGUGGGGAGCAAACAGGAUUAGAUACCCUGGUAGUCCACACCGUAAACGAUGAAUGCCAGUCGUCGGCAAGCAUGCUUGUCGGUGACACACCUAACGGAUUAAGCAUUCCGCCUGGGGAGUACGGUCGCAAGAUUAAAACUCAAAGGAAUUGACGG